UACGGAGGGAGCUAGCGUUGUUCGGAAUUACUGGGCGUAAAGCGCGCGUAGGCGGCUUUGUAAGUUAGAGGUGAAAGCCCGGGGCUCAACCCCGGAACUGCCUUUAAAACUGCAUCGCUUGAAUCCGGGAGAGGUGAGUGGAAUUCCGAGUGUAGAGGUGAAAUUCGUAGAUAUUGGGAAGAACACCGGUGGCGAAGGCGGCUAUCUGGACCGACAUUGACGCUGAGGCGCGAAAGCGUGGGGAGCAAACAGG
rnacentral:rRNA from 1 species